rnacentral:rRNA from 1 species
GACGAACGCUGGCGGCGUGCUUAACACAUGCAAGUCGAACGGAAAGGCCCUGCUUUUGUGGGGUGCUCGAGUGGCGAACGGGUGAGUAACACGUGAGUAACCUGCCCUUGACUUUGGGAUAACUUCAGGAAACUGGGGCUAAUACCGGAUAGGAGCUCCUGCUGCAUGGUGGGGGUUGGAAAGUUUCGGCGGUUGGGGAUGGACUCGCGGCUUAUCAGCUUGUUGGUGGGGUAGUGGCUUACCAAGGCUUUGACGGGUAGCCGGCCUGAGAGGGUGACCGGCAAAAUUGGGAAUGAGGUACGGACCAGGGUCGUACAGGGGACAGCGGGGGGGGAUAGUGGACGAGGGGAGGAAGGCUGAUGCGGCAGCGCCGCGGGCGGGAUGAGGGGGUUGGGGUUGAAAAAAGCGUACGCCUGUGACGAAGGGUGAGGGAGGGGGAUGGGUAAAGGAGCACCGAAAAACGACGAC